CUCAAGGACUGGGACACCUGUCCCUCCUCCUCCACCCACGCUGCGGGGAACUGCAUGGCUCCUCCGGGCGGGGACCAUAGCUUUCCGCCUCAACGUACCUGGGGCUCGGCAUGCUGCGUUGAAUUUUGGAGUGGAUGAGGAGUGAGGGUGUGGCAGGGCGGCUGGAGCUGCCCAACUGCUGAAACUGCUGCAGGUGCCACAGCGGCUGGCUCCCUGAAAGCGUCCUCCUGCCUCUGAGACCGUAGCGCAGGAGGGUGCGAGUGCACCUCCGCAAGGCCUGACGCUGCUGAUCCACUUCCUCUCCCCACGAUGGGGACACACUUGGCGACAGUUCCAUCUGGGGAAGAGACCCAGCCGGAACCCAGGGAAGAGCAGGCUGUGAAAACUGGGCAGAAACUUGCGGCGACUCGGAAGACACUGCCAGGAAACCCUCCCCGGGCCUCCUGUGGGGCUUGUAGCAGCCGCAGGGGUUGGCUCUCACCUUCUAGUCCCAGCCAGGUUGUCUUGGAGUCAGCUAAUGGGCAAGGCCCCUACCUCUCUUAGGAUCUGAGGAUGGGAGGGGCUGCGUUUUUCCAGAGGAUCUGCACGUGUGCAGGCUGAGUGUUGAGACUUGAUUGGUGUCAACUGGCACUGCCUGCCCAUGAUGCACAAAAGCUACUGUAAGAAACAGGGUCCAUGUCUCCAGGGAGCAGGACCCCGUUCUGAGGCCACAACCCCGAGGGCAGUCUCCGCCUGCAGAGUCCUCCCUCUCGCACCGGCUCACCUCGUGGUGAAUCCCUUGGCUACGGUUUGGUGUGAGAAAAGAGAUGGGUGUUUCACUCCCUGCUGCAUCCCUGGUGACGGCCCUGGCAUUUCGGGGCAUGAGAUCUUUGCUUAAAGGUUUUGCGGUGGUCACUGCACAGGGGGUGGGGGUGGGGUCCCUUGGUGCAAUUUAUCCGAUUCUGCUGCGUGGAUGACAUCCACAGUGUUCCUCUCCAGUGGGGAUUAUCUGAGACCUUUCCGCAUGCCCGCACCCACAGUCCGCUCCCUCACGGCAGCAUGAACUCAGGAGGCGGGCGUUCCCACAGUCAUUACAUUUGCAGGGCCUCUCUAUGUCCACUCUGAUGCCUGAGGACCAGCGCUUCCACGAAGGUGUGGCCACGUCCAGUGCUGCUCAUUGGCUUCUCUCCUGCGGGAAUGUUCUGAUCCCGAACGGAGCCUGAGCAUGCGCGAAACCCUUCCCACGUUCACAAGGUGCUUCUCCAGUGUUCCAUUACAUCUCACCUAUGCACACUACAUGCAUACGGUUUCCACCGGCUGUGCGUGUCCCUAGAAGUCACAUUCACGGCGUUUCUCCCUGGGAGGAAUUCUCCCGUGCAUGGCUGCUCUGAGACCAUUUGCACCUGCGGCCACGCGUGGGCUCCUCGAGGCUUACAAACCAGGCUGGACUCCUGAAGCCCUAGCUGCACUUGGCACUCGGCGAGGUUUUUCUACAAAAUCUCAUCUCAGCCAUCUGAGUCCUUCACCAUUUAUCUUAUGAAUCCGCUCGAACGUACAAGGAAGGCCUCUCUGCCCUCCUGCUCCAGGGAGGAGGUUUUGACCCUCAGCUCCACCUCUGCGGCUGGCCCGGUCUCCGCAAACCUUUUUCUGCUUGGCCAGCUGGUGCCAUGCUAGGCUUUCCCACUAGGGGCGCCAGAGAAAGCGCGCGAGGCUGCGGAGGAGAGAGGGGCACACUCUUUCCGGUUUGCUUCCGGUUUUUUCCUCAGGCUUCCGGUCUGUUUGGUGCCCUGGUCGCGUGUCUUCCGAACUCUGCUGCUUCGCCCCGGCAAGAGCACUUCCUUCCGCGGCUGCUAAAACUGGUGCGCGGGUUCCCAACUUCGCAGAAGAGCUUCAUCGGCCCCCCGCUAGAGACCUCAGACCGCAGCCAUCGACGCCUCGCCUCGGGGAUCUGUCCCCACCCUCGGGGCCAGCUCACCAUGAGUCAGGCCCUGUGCUAGGUGCUGGGAUGAAGCAGUGACUGACACAGGCCUGGACCUGUCCUUGGGAAGAGUGCGUCUGUGACACAGAUACUGUGCCAUGUGGCAAAGUAAGCGCGUGGGACAGCAGAGCCUUGUUUGCCAUUAAAGUAAUAUCACAACUUGAAUGGAGACAUCAGCUCUUUGUGGGUCUCAAGUCUACUGGCUUUCAAUCAGCUCUUCUGCUUGACAGCUGCAGGUCUUGGGACUGCCCAGCCCCCAUAACCCUGUGAGUGCAUUCCUGAUAAUAACCCUCUUUCUCUUGUCCUCCCCCACCCCACAUCAUUGGUUCUGUUUCUCUGGAGAACCAUAAUACAUCAUUUACUAAUCAGGAAAUAGAUUCAGAGACAUUAAUAACUCAUCCAACCUCACAGUUAACUGUAGAGUUGGGCUUGAAAUUCCAAGGUCGAUUUUCUUAGCCAAUACACCAUGCUACAUAUAUGUAUGUAAAAAUAAAAACGCUUGUGAACUGAAAAGGGUCCAAACUUAAGCUCAUUUUGGUCCUUAAUUGCUAAUCCAUAGGCAUGUUUUGGUCCUUAAUUGCUAAUCCAUAAGCAUGUUUCGGUCCUUAUUUGCUAAUCCAUAGGCCUGCACACCUGCCCCCAAGGCCAUGG
rnacentral:lncRNA from 10 species